UUGGACGCCCCCCCCCCCUCUCCCAUCUUCUUCCUCCUCAAAUCUUUGCAGCCCUCACCACCCAAAACUCUAGCCCCCCCCAUUUCUCCCCCUCCUCCAAGGUGCAGCCCUCCCGUGUGGUUCUCCGUCGUGUGGCUGCGAUCUCAAUUGGAGUUUGGAGGGAGGAAGAAGGAAGGAGGAAGGGAAGAACCUAAGGUGAAUUUGUGAUUAACUUUUGUUGUUUUUGUGCUGCAAUCAAUUGGAUUAUGUGUUUAUCUUUGCGAAUCGGUAGAGGUGCUGUCCAGGAAUUUUGUGAGUGGGUGAACAGCAGUAGUUCUAGGGAUUUCUGGGAAUUUUCGUGGGGUAAUUAGUGGGAUUCAGUGGGAUAAUCAUGUAGAGCUUUGUCAUACCUUUCCAACGAGUACUUAUGCGCUCGAUUCGGAGUUAUAAUUUAGGAGAUAUCGUUGUUUGAAUCCGGGUAUGUUGCUGUCCAAAAAAACAGAUUUUUGAGGUGGAUGAACAACAGUAGUAUUAGCAGUUUCUGGGAAUUUUUCGUGGGUAAUUAGUAUUAACCAGUAUUAUAAUCAUGUAGGGCUUUGUCUUAUCUUUCCAAUGAGUACUUAUGUGCUUGAUUUGGAAUUAUAUUUUAAAAGAUAUCGCUGUUUGAAUCCGGGUAUGUUGCUGUCCAAAAAAACAGAUUUUUCAGGUGGGUGAACAGCAGUAGUAUUAGCAAUUUCUGGGAAUUUUUCGUGGUUAAUUAGUGCUAACCAGUAUGAUAAUCAUGUAUGGCUUUGUCUUAUCUUUCCAAUGAGUACUUAUGCGCUUGAAUUGGAAUUAUAUUUUAAAAGAUAUCGCUGUUUGAAUCCGGGUAUGUCGCUGUCCAAAAGAGAAAAAAACAGAUUACAGGGUUCAUCUUGUGAACUGUUUUGGGCUAAUUAGAUGUUGGAAUUUAAUUAUAAAUUGUAUACAAAACUUGUGGGAAAUUUUAUGUAGAUGCCUCUGGAGUUUUUGGUUGUUACCAAUGCUGUCAUAAUUUUGAAGUUAUGAAAUUAUUAAGCAGCGCCGCUGCAGUUUGGUGGGUGUGGGGAGAGAUGUAACCCGCGGCGGGGUUUGAGUUUGUGCGUAGGUGCGGCGUCGUUUAUGAGCCUGGUUAUGUGAAAUUGGUGCACUAAGUUGUGUGUCAAAAACAGGUGGUGGACUUCCGGAUCGUACUUAGGGAUCUGCCCAAACUUCCGGUAAAGGCAAGUAAAUACAGUGGUGGUUGCUACCGUUUGGGUUGCAUCCUAUUCCCUGACAUUGAGUAUGCAUAAGUUUUAAUUAUGUUAAUCAUUGAAUUCUAUGAUGAAGUUUAUUUGUUUGGAAGUAUUAAUUCUCAAUUGUCUAAUAUUGUGGAUGAUCAUAAUUUGGUAAUGAUAUAUGUGGUUGAUUCCCAUCUUGGAUGAAGUUGAAGUAUUUUUUUGAAUCACGUUAUAUGAAGUGUUGUAGGCAUGACAUGCUCAUCGCAUCAUCCAUCUUGCAUUUUGAAGUUAUGUCGUGAUCUUAUGGUCCGACCGUACCGGUACAUUUUUAGCAUCGUACGUUGCCCGAGGAGGGGUACGAUGCGGCUUCAUAUCCUUAGAGGUAUGAAGGCAGAAGUCAUCCUUGCAUUUGCAGACAUUUGCACUCAUGAGGUAUAUAUAUGAAGAGUGACAUUACUAUGUUACUAUUGUGGUUUCUACCUGCGAGGUGUGGUAGCUAGGAGUGUUGUACGUUGUAUACGUGCUGCACCUUUGUAAUAAGAAGGUUGUGAAAUCAAGUGGUGGUAAAACAAUAUUCUUAUGUGGUUAAACAGUUUGAUAUUAUUUUACUUGCUGAGAUGUGUCAUCUCACUCUUGCAUUACUCAAUGCAGGUACUUGAUACAUGUUGGGAAUGAGGGGAGUAGCAGCACGUCCACUUUCACUCUCAUAAUAGCGCUGCCCAGGCGUAGCCAUGAUUUAAUUAGAAACUUGUUGUCAAAAGAAGUUUAUUUUUUUGCUAGUCGUGCGCACUGGUUAAUUCAGUUCAUGUCGUAUGUUUAACUUCCCUUUGCUAGCCGAUUAAUAAUACUUGGUAUGUUUUUGUCAUGAUAUAUGUUUAUACACUGUUGUCCCCCCCCUCAUUUAUGCAAUUUUGCAAAGGAGAUGCUGCCAAAAUUUUAUAUAGAUGUCAGAAGUGUAGUUCAGUAGCAUUCUGGGGUGUUUGUGGACCCCGGGGCGUUACAGUUGGUAUCAGAGCAUAGGCUUUAGAUUCUACGCAAUUUGAAGAUAAAUUUGACACACUUGCACAUAUAGGAAGGGUAUGGGUUCGUAUAUCUUUCAUAUUAGUACUUUAUUGUAUAGAUGACUAGAACUUCCUUACUCCAAAUUCCUUUAUGGUUUGAUGGGGUACGUCAUUAAUGACGUAAUGCUGGAUAUGAUAUGUUAUUUCUAUUUAAUAUUGGUUUCUUGAUGUGGUUGUUAUUGAAGAUAUUAUGCAAGUGAAGCUACUACUGUACUUGUUUUAUAUACAUAUUGUCAUGAUGUUUUUUUUGAUGCAAUGUUUUCAAAUCUCUGAGCUAUUACUAUCAUAUAUUUCUAUAUGCUUGACUGUGGAUGUUUUUUUCCAAAAGGAUUCUUGGGUUCUAGUACUUGUAGGACCGAUUGUUUAUUGAGCUUGUCUAUAGUGGGUCUAAUCCGACUUGGUGUAGUGUGAAAACACUAUAUAAUGUAGUUUUAUGGUGUUGUUGAGUUUGAUUGACUGUUGGGUUACAACCCAACUUAUCAAUGUAAUAUUUCCAUGGGUGCAAUGCUUUGCGCCUCACUUUUUUGGCUAGUGUGGCUACUUGCUAACUUGAUCUUAGUAUAAAAUUGGUUUGUCUCUAUAGAGCAAAGGCAACAUUGUAAUGUCUAUGAAAUCUUGAGACUGGUAGAACUCAAGUGAAUUUGUAAGAUGACGUAGAUUGAUAAGUCCAACCAUGUUUACCUGAUAGGUUUUCUUAUUAUGUGCAACCUUAUUUUUUUCAACAAUAAAUAGGGUGGUUUCAAGUGGAUUUUAUGUCGUGCAUGUUUUCCUUCUAUGGUUUGUUUCAAUAGCCAUAAAGGCUAUGCAUAAUUUUUAGUUGUUGCAGGCUAGUCAUGUGGACGAUAUUGACAACCCAUUUUAUUUUUUUUAUUUGCCAACAUUGUAUGGUAGUUUGAUUUUUUUUUAUGAUCAGUUUCUCUAUGCAUGCUUGUUGAAUCAUUAUUUGGACCGCUUUAUCUUAAACGAAGUCAAUGCUUAACUGGGAGUUGCUUAUGUUUGUUAGUCAUCUAUCUCUUUAAUGAUGGGGUUGUUGCAUCGGAUUGAGAUUUUUCUUAUAUGAAUGAUGGUUUGAUAGAUCAUGUAUGUCUACUACUUUGAAUGCAUCCUGUGAUAUCACGAGGUACAAAUUGUUCAAGUGCAGUAAUAGUAGGUUUUGUUGUAUGUGAGGUUAAUCAAGGUAGUUUGGUUAUGUGGAUUGUCUUAUUGACAUCCAAUUACUCCUGAUGAGCAUAGUAUCGUGUUGCUAUUUUAGUAUUGAAAGUAAUAUUUAUGAAGCUUUUGCAUGAGUCUGUGUCAAGAAGUACAUUAGUUUUUCUUGUUGUUAUCCCUCCAUUGCUUUAUGAGUAUUGCAAAUUUUAUCUCUUUUGAGAGGAGGAAAAGACGUUACAUGACAUGAGCACCAUUUGCUUCACGUCAACAGAAUAGUUGUGGAGAGCUCUAAUAGUUGGAUUCUAGUGUAAUAACAACCAUGUCUUAUAGUGCUAGAGACGGGUAUGUCAGGUGUUUCAUACAUUGUCGAUACAUGGAUGUUUGACCUUAGUGGCAUUAACAAACGAGGUUGUUUAAUUCGUUGAUUGUUGUGCUUAGUGUUCUAACCUAUUAGGUAAAGUGUUGCUUAAAGGCUUUGGGGAGUUGCAUCCCCAUUUGGUAGUGGAAAAUCCUAGUGUUGAUCGCACCUGCCAAUGCCUUGGGUUUUAUUUUAUAUUGUUUUUUAUUAUGGGUAAGGUGUUGUUUGGUUUUGGGAGUCAUUUUAAAUUAGUUGGAGGCUGAAUCAGGCUUCACUUAUCUAGAAUGUUUUGUAGUAGGCUUCUUCAUCUUUGCAUAGGAUGCUCAAUCACCCAGUUUGGUCUAAACAUUGGAGAGUUAUGGGUUUCCUAUAGCAGCCUUAAUUUUGUACGAAAGUAUAGACAUUGAAGACGGUAAAUUUUGGUUUUUGUUGGAUUAUGAAAGUUUUAGUAAUUUCAUGAUCUUUCCAAAGAUUAUUGGUUUGUAAUUUUCAUUGCAUAUAAUUGGAGUUAGGCUACUCUGAAGUUGUUACACCGUUGUGUCUGAACUUUAGGUGUCGUUAAAACCACCAAUAAAUCGACCGUGUUCUGAUAGUUUCAGAGCCCAAAUUUGGGAAUUCUCUUUAAGAAAAACUUUUAGUUUUUCUAAGUACCUUUUAAUGGGUAUUUACUUGUAAUUGCCUAUUAAAUAGAUUGGGAGAGGUGGUUGUCCGGAUAUAAGUCGAAUCUCUGAUGUGCAGUAUCUCAGGUUGAGUUUAGCUGUAGGUCAUGCAGAGUUGAGGGUUAUAAAGAUAAAUUUGGGUGCAACUUUAUUGCAAAAGUCAUGGACAAUUUCCAAACUUUUCCAACGCAUGUUCGUUGUAGUUUUAAGUUAAGUAUAGCAGGAGUUAUAGGAUUUUGAAUUUUAGUUGUCCAAUAUUUCUAUCCUAUCAGUUUUGCAACAAAGCAGUUGCAUUGUUUUAUCGGUUUGGAAACCAAUUCUGAGACACUCAUUAUAAUAAAAGUUUUAGGGAAUGUUAUAACCUUUCCAAUGAGUUUGUAUUUGCAAAAUUUUGUUAGAUGCAGAUUGGGUGAGUUAUUGGAUGGAUAUAUAUGCAUAGUAUAAUUAAAAAAAGUGUUCUUCGAUGGAAUGAUAUAAUGUAUAGAAUAUGCUUGGAUGGAUAUAUGGGCAGGCGUAGUAUGCUUAAAUCGAUUCUUGCUUCCAUGAUGUGAGAUAAGGCUUAAAAUGAUUUAAAAAAGUUAGCAUAUGGCUUCUAUCUUUAUGUUGGCUCUGAGUGUCUCGUAAUGAAGAACCUAAAGUUAUUAGUCCUUCGAUGAACGCUUAAUCUUAGAAGAGUAUAGAACCUGAAUAAAUCUAUUGCUUGCUGUUUGGGACUACAUGACCAGUUUUGGUUAUGCAGCUAGUUCAAUGAAUUAAACCAUGUUUUCUGUAGAGGUGUUGUAUAUAAAAGUUGUAGCCAACUUCUUCAUCUUACUUGUGUAAAAUUUCAUGACCAUAGGUCUAGUAGUUUGGGAGUUAUGAUUUUCUCAAGUCUAGUCUUGGAAUCUGUCCAGAUUCUGUACAGAUUUUGAAACUGACCUUGUUUGCCCAAGUUAAACUUUGAAUCAGUUCUUAUAAAUUAUAAAGAAGUGGAGUACUUUCCUUAAGAUUUCCAACAAAUAUUGGAUCACCCUUUUUGGUGACCUAUAAGUUAAGCUACAGCUGUUUUAAGUGGAAUCUUUGAAUCUGUCCAAAUUUGGACAGCAAAGCCUUUCUUAUGUCUUUUGACCAUGAUAUGCAUUGAAUUAACCUGAUAUGUUUAUAAAUGAAAUAUAGACAAUUUUACUGGCUUUCAAAAAAGUCUAGGAGCGCCUAAAUUGGAUGACUGAGACUCCAAUUAUGGAUUUUUUUAAGUGAGUAGUUGAAUUCUGUCCAAGUCUGGACAAAAUUUACGUUUCGCAUUGUUUGUCCUUUCUAAGUGUCAAAUCUUGUGGUGAUGAUAAUACCAAGGGUAUAGUGGACUUUGUAAGCUUUCCAUAAAGUCCUAGUUUACUACUGUUGGAUGCAUACUUUGUGAGUUUAUGAGCAAAACAAUUAACCGUUCUGCUGAUGUCUAGAAAUAUGCAAGCAUUAAAUUGAUCUUUUGAAGUUACUCUUGUUUGGAUAGGUUUGGUUUAGGAUAUUGGAGCACAGUAUGUAUUGCUUUCAUUAUAUAUAUUCAUUGAAGUACUUGCAUGUGUCAAUGUUGAUUUGGUGUCAGGAAAACUUUGUCCGGGUUAUAUAGGACUGUCUAUUAUCUUAGCCCGAGUUGGCAGCUUGGCUUAGCACAUGCAAUUGUCGGAGACUAUGAUCAGAGUACGCCAUGUAUUCCAUGUCUCUAUGUUGAGAAAGUAUUUGCGGAAUCCAUAUCAAUAAUCGAGCUAGAGUCGAUUCCCAUGUAGCAAGACCUGACUCUAGAGUGUCGUCUGCUGCGUAUCCUAGAAUCCUUGAAGCUCGAGGAGCUGAUGCGGCAGAAGUACCCCGAACUUUUCGUUAUGGGGUGAGUUUUUGUUGUCGCUGAUCUUUCCUUGUCGUUCCGAUAGAAGCGUCGGAAUUCGAGGUCGAAUUCUUUUUAAGGAGGGUAGAGUGUGAUACCCGGUUUGCAAAGAAGAGAAGUUGAAGGUUAUUCUUUUUGUUUGUUUUUUCUCUUAUUCGGGUGUCGCGCUUUGGGGAUUUAGAAUUUAUGGAAAACAUUCACCAGUAUAGCAGUAGAGUGGUUGGUCGGGAGCUGUCGUGCAAGCGAGUUGGGCCGCGAAUCGCAAUCCGGCCCACUAACCCUCCCCUAACCCUAGCCCCCCCCCCCCCUUUUUCCCCCUUGGGUUGUUGCAGCCGCCCCUUCCCCUCCCCUUUCUCUUGGACGCCCCCCCCCCCCUCUCCCAUCUUCUUCCUCCUCAAAUCUUUGCAGCCCUCACCACCCAAAACCCUAGCCCCCCCCCAUUUCUCCCCCUCCUCCAAGGUGCAGCCCUCCCGUGUGGUUCUCCGUCGUGUGGCUGCGAUCUCAAUUGGAGUUUGGAGGGAGGAAGAAGGAAGAAGGGAAGAACCUAAGGUGAAUUUGUGAUUAACUUUUGUUGUUUUUGUGCUGCAAUCAAUUGGAUUAUGUGUUUAUCUUUGCGAAUCGGUAGAGGUGCUGUCCAGGAAUUUUGUGAGUGGGUGAACAGCAGUAGUUCUAGGGAUUUCUGGGAAUUUUCGUGGGGUAAUUAGUGGGAUUCAGUGGGAUAAUCAUGUAGAGCUUUGUCAUACCUUUCCAACGAGUACUUAUGCGCUCGAUUCGGAGUUAUAAUUUAGGAGAUAUCGUUGUUUGAAUCCGGGUAUGUUGCUGUCCAAAAAAACAGAUUUUUGAGGUGGAUGAACAACAGUAGUAUUAGCAGUUUCUGGGAAUUUUUCGUGGGUAAUUAGUAUUAACCAGUAUUAUAAUCAUGUAGGGCUUUGUCUUAUCUUUCCAAUGAGUACUUAUGUGCUUGAUUUGGAAUUAUAUUUUAAAAGAUAUCGCUGUUUGAAUCCGGGUAUGUUGCUGUCCAAAAAAACAGAUUUUUCAGGUGGGUGAACAGCAGUAGUAUUAGCAAUUUCUGGGAAUUUUUCGUGGUUAAUUAGUGCUAACCAGUAUGAUAAUCAUGUAUGGCUUUGUCUUAUCUUUCCAAUGAGUACUUAUGCGCUUGAAUUGGAAUUAUAUUUUAAAAGAUAUCGCUGUUUGAAUCUGGGUAUGUCGCUGUCCAAAAGAGAAAAAAACAGAUUACAGGGUUCAUCUUGUGAACUGUUUUGGGCUAAUUAGAUGUUGGAAUUUAAUUAUAAAUUGUAUACAAAACUUGUGGGAAAUUUUAUGUAGAUGCCUCUGGAGUUUUUGGUUGUUACCAAUGCUGUCAUAAUUUUGAAGUUAUGAAAUUAUUAAGCAGCGCCGCUGCAGUUUGGUGGGUGUGGGGAGAGAUGUAACCCGCGGCGGGGUUUGAGUUUGUGCGUAGGUGCGGCGUCGUUUAUGAGCCUGGUUAUGUGAAAUUGGUGCACUAAGUUGUGUGUCAAAAACAGGUGGUGGACUUCCGGAUCGUACUUAGGGAUCUGCCCAAACUUCCGGUAAAGGCAAGUAAAUACAGUGGUGGUUGCUACCGUUUGGGUUGCAUCCUAUUCCCUGACAUUGAGUAUGCAUAAGUUUUAAUUAUGUUAAUCAUUGAAUUCUAUGAUGAAGUUUAUUUGUUUGGAAGUAUUAAUUCUCAAUUGUCUAAUAUUGUGGAUGAUCAUAAUUUGGUAAUGAUAUAUGUGGUUGAUUCCCAUCUUGGAUGAAGUUGAAGUAUUUUUUUGAAUCACGUUAUAUGAAGUGUUGUAGGCAUGACAUGCUCAUCGCAUCAUCCAUCUUGCAUUUUGAAGUUAUGUCGUGAUCUUAUGGUCCGACCGUACCGGUACAUUUUUAGCAUCGUACGUUGCCCGAGGAGGGGUACGAUGCGGCUUCAUAUCCUUAGAGGUAUGAAGGCAGAAGUCAUCCUUGCAUUUGCAGACAUUUGCACUCAUGAGGUAUAUAUAUGAAGAGUGACAUUACUAUGUUACUAUUGUGGUUUCUACCUGCGAGGUGUGGUAGCUAGGAGUGUUGUACGUUGUAUACGUGCUGCACCUUUGUAAUAAGAAGGUUGUGAAAUCAAGUGGUGGUAAAACAAUAUUCUUAUGUGGUUAAACAGUUUGAUAUUAUUUUACUUGCUGAGAUGUGUCAUCUCACUCUUGCAUUACUCAAUGCAGGUACUUGAUACAUGUUGGGAAUGAGGGGAGUAGCAGCACGUCCACUUUCACUCUCAUAAUAGCGCUGCCCAGGCGUAGCCAUGAUUUAAUUAGAAACUUGUUGUCAAAAGAAGUUUAUUUUUUUGCUAGUCGUGCGCACUAGUUAAUUCAGUUCAUGUCGUAUGUUUAACUUCCCUUUGCUAGCCGAUUAAUAAUACUUGGUAUGUUUUUGUCAUGAUAUAUGUUUAUACACUGUUGUCCCCCCCCCCUCCUCAUUUAUGCAAUUUUGCAAAGGAGAUGCUGCCAAAAUUUUAUAUAGAUGUCAGAAGUGUAGUUCAGUAGCAUUCCGG
rnacentral:lncRNA from 1 species